rnacentral:lncRNA from 1 species
GCAAAGGCCAUAGAAUUAGGAGAAGGCGUGGCAUAGAAGAAAUUUUAUUCACAGGAGACAACGGGUGCAAUAUCAUAAUUUGAUCUCAGGUGUUACUAUAGGAUUUAUUUAGUCCCAUCAGAAAUUGAAUUGCGCGGUCUCGUUGGUAUAUAGAUUAGGAUUUUAAGUUUUCCACGGAAGCAAUCUGGAAUUAGAUCAUGACAGCCAAUUCAUCCCAUAGCGACUUCAGCUUGCCAUAAUAAAUAUUUAUAUGGUCUCGAUCUUACUGUAGUGCUGCCAAAGCUUUCUUCAGGUGGAAGAUGCAAAGCCCAUUCUACUGGGUGAAUCGAUCCUUCAACUCAGCCCAGAUUUCCGAAACAUCAUUCGCCAAUAUUGUGUUGGAUUUCAAGGUCUGGCUAAUUGAAUUGAGCAGCCAAGAGACUAUCAGAUCAUUACAUCAUUCCCUUGCUUCAAAAAGUGGAUCAUCAAUGUCCUGGGGCUUAACUAAUGUACCAUUGAUGAAUCCCAGCUUGUUUUUAUCUCGAAGUACUUGGCACAUGGCCCUCGACCAGGUAGUGUAAUUGUCUGUAGUAAGUAGUUCUGGAACCAAUGAGACCGAAUGGUUAUCUCCAUGGUCCAAACAAUAAGGAUUAGUAACAUUGUUGAAAUCAAGAAAUGGUGAUGGAAAAGUAGAAGGGUUGGGAUUCAUUGAAUUAGCAGCCAUAGCUAGGUCAAGGUUUGUUGAUUCGACUGCCAUGAAUGUGGCUCUUUAUUCCAAAAAUUGUUCUGAUACCAUGGAAAAAAUCAGCACGACAAAAACAAAGAUUGAAGACACAGAAAUACAAUUAUUAUAUUCUCAUUUAAUUUUCUUGAUACAAUUUACUAGGUGUAGCUGUAAGAAAGGA